UCCCUGUCUUUAAUUUUAUUCUCAUUAUUUAAUGGAUGUAGUAGGAAAAGACAGCAUUUGCAGGGUGAGCCUCCAAGGAGCAGUGCUUGGAUGGAGCAGGUUCAGGCCUCUUGCAAUUUAACCUUCUUUUUCCAACCCAUGAUCAAAAGAGACUUGGACAAGAAUUUCUUUACUCUGUGACUUUUGUGGGCAAGGAACAAAAACAUACUCAGACCAGCUUCACCAAAAAGGCGGAAUUCACUUGAAUCACUAUUGAGCUAUGUUACAGAACACAGGAUACGCAGAGCAGAGCCAGAAAUCAAGGCCUUGUGGGGAUUCCCACAGCUGUGCUCUCCCUGUCGCUGCUUUUCUCUUUCCCUUAUCUCUGCACAGCUCUUUAUUUGUCUUACUUUGUCCGCAGACUAACUGUUGCUGCCUUUCUGUGCAUAGUCUCCUCUCCCAGUGUCUCUGGAACAACGGUCAUUGCCUCAACAACAGAACUUCAAAUGCUCACAACAGAAAAUCUUUGGGACUCAUGCCAAGCAAAGAAUUUCCUCCCUCUGGAUCAAGUGACUUCUUUUACCUCAUCAGUUGAAGUCAGUAGAAUGGGUAGGGUCACAUGAUAUAAACAUGACUUUAGGAACCCACAUCUGUCUAUGUGGAAUAGAUCUCAGAGAAGAGGAAUUCAAUUUGAGCAUGGCGGCACAUCCCUGUAAUCCCAGCACUUAAGGAAAAAAAAUCAGGCAAGAGGAGAGAGGAUUCAACGAGGCAGAAUCCUUCAGUUUUGCACUCCGUUCCAGUGCCUUAAUUUCCAUUUCUCUGCUUUAGCUCCUAAUAGCAGCUACAAACCUAUGGCACAUGUGCCAAAAGGGCUGUUUGUUAUCCCUGAAAGCUGCAAAAAGUUCACCAUCACUUCUUAGAAGAAAUACAGAGGGGAGAAAGACAAGAAAAUUCUCAUUUGUCCACUGAAAUUCAUGGCAUGAAGCAGUCAGAUACUUACAAGUACUCAGACAGAAUAAAGAAACGGCGGUGUAAGAGAGGAAAGUAGUGAUAAAAGCGGAUGAGACUAUUUACUUUCACAUUUUGUUUCCAAAGUGUUUAAAAAUUAUUGUUCCUAGAGUUCCAGAGUUCCGGCCAUGGAGGAAUUCGGGCAGCCUAAUUCACCCGCCCUCUCGGUAAGCGUCUGCAACGCAGGCCAGGAGGAGAACAGAGUUCCAGAGUUCCAGCCAUGGAGGAAUUCAGGCAGCCUAUUCACCUGCCCUCUUGUCUUUCUUUAAAUUCAGUUUUAAAAAGAAGACACUACAGUACCCAGUGCUGAUCAUGGAGCGUCAUGAAGUGAAAUCCAGCAAUACUAUUAUUCUUUGUUCAAAAUGAUUUUAACGUGAUUUAGUUUGUUUAAUCUAAACAUAAAUGAAGAUAUGGAUAACUGCGUGUAUGUUUAAAUGUAUAGGAUUGACAACCAUGUUACUAAGUUUUUGUUGGACAGUUGAUUAGAACUUUUUGCAGUCCCUCUAUUUGAAUUCCCACUUUACAUGUUCCAUUUUUGUACCUUGAACAACUAUUUGUAAAACGACAUCAACUAGUGAUUUCUUACUCUUUUUUUUUCUCUGCAUGUAUGUACUAUUUCUACCUAUUUUCUGUUUUGUUUAAUCUUUCUUUAAAUAAAAAAAAUUAUUGUUCCUUU